GUGUAGGAUAGGUGGGAGGCUAUGAAACCGGAACGCUAGUUUCGGUGGAGCCGUCCUUGAAAUACCACCCUGGUUUGUUUGAGGUUCUAACCUUGGCCCGUGAUCCGGGUCGGGGACAGUGCAUGGUAGGCAGUUUGACUGGGGCGGUCUCCUCCCAAAGCGUAACGGAGGAGUACGAAGGUACGCUAGGUACGGUCGGAAAUCGUGCUGAUAGUGCAAUGGCAUAAGCGUGCUUAACUGCGAGACCGACAAGUCGAGCAGGUGCGAAAGCAGGUCAUAGUGAUCCGGUGGUUCUGUAUGGAAGGGCCAUCGCUCAACGGAUAAAAGGUACUCUGGGGAUAACAGGCUGAUACCGCCCAAGAGUUCAUAUCGACGGCGGUGUUUGGCACCUCGAUGUCGGCUCAUCUCAUCCUGGGGCUGUAGCCGGUCCCAAGGGUAUGGCUGUUCGCCAUUUAAAGAGGUACGUGAGCUGGGUUUAAAACGUCGUGAGACAGUUUGGUCCCUAUCUGCCGUGGGCGUUGGAUAUUUGAAGGGGGCUGCUCCUAGUACGAGAGGACCGGAGUGGACGAACCUCUGGUGUACCGGUUGUCACGCCAGUGGCAUCGCCGGGUAGCUAUGUUCGGAAGAGAUAACCGCUGAAAGCAUCUAAGCGGGAAACUCGCCUUAAGAUGAGAUAUCCCUGGGGACUAGAUCCCCUUGAAGGGUCGUUCGAGACCAGGACGUUGAUAGGUCGGGUGUGUAAGCGCAGUAAUGCGUUCAGCUAACCGAUACUAAUUGCCCGUAAGGCUUGAUCCUAUAACA
rnacentral:rRNA from 1 species